rnacentral:tRNA from 1 species
AGGCAGAAGCCUGUUGGGUUUAGGCGUAUAGCUGUUAACUAUAGAGUUAUGGGAUCGAGGCCCAUCUGUCUA